rnacentral:rRNA from 1 species
AUUGAACGCUGGCGGCAGGCCUAACACAUGCAAGUCGAGCGGAGCGGCGGACGGGUGAGUAAUGCCUAGGAAUCUGCCUGGUAGUGGGGGAUAACGUCCGGAAACGGGCGCUAAUACCGCAUACUAUCAGAUGAGCCUAGGUCGGAUUAGCUAGUUGGUGGGGUAAAGGCCCACCAAGGCGACGAUCAGUAGCUGGUCUGAGAGGACGAUCAGCCACACUGGGACUGAGACACGGCCCAGACUCCUACGGGAGGCAGCAGUGGGGAAUUUUGGACAAUGGGCGAAAGCCUGAUCCAGCCAUGCCGCGUGUGUGAAGAAGGCCUUCGGGUUGUAAAGCACUUUUGUCCGGAAAGCGGUACCGGAAGAAUAAGGACCGGCUAACUACGUGCCAGCAGCCGCGGUAAUUC